rnacentral:rRNA from 1 species
UACGAAGGGGGCUAGCGUUGUUCGGAAUCACUGGGCGUAAAGCGCACGUAGGCGGAUUUUUAAGUCAGGGGUGAAAUGCCAGGGCUCAACCUUGGAACUGCCUUUGAUACUGGAGACCUUGAGUCCGGGAGAGGUGAGUGGAAUUGCGAGUGUAGAGGUGAAAUUCGUAGAUAUUCGCAAGAACACCAGUGGCGAAGGCGGCUCACUGGCCCGGAACUGACGCUGAGACGCGAAAGCGUGGGGAGCAAACAGG